UACGUAGGGACCAAGCGUUGUUCGGAUUUACUGGGCGUAAAGGGCGCGUAGGCGGCGUGUUAAGUCACUUGUGAAAUCUCUGAGCUUAACUCAGAACGGUCAAGUGAUACUGAUGUGCUAGAGUGCAGAAGGGGCAACCGGAAUUCUUGGUGUAGCGGUGAAAUGCGUAGAGAUCGGAAAGAACACCAACGGCGAAAGCACUCUGCUGGGCCGACACUGACACUGAGAGACGAAAGCUAGGGGAGCGAAUGGG
rnacentral:rRNA from 1 species